CUAUCAGUAUGGUUGGUCCACUAGGAACCAGCGGGAAAGAUAAAACCUUCGGUUUGUACUCUGCUUCGUGAACUAUGUUGUGACCCCGCUCCCUCUUCCCUCAGAGACCUGCAGACGGACGGUAGUGUUGGCUUGAGUUUUUGUGACGAAGCUUACUUUUCAGUUUCACCCCUAAGCUACUACUCCUAGAAGAGUGACGUUGGCCUAGUUGAAUUUGACGAGGUUGACUAUUAUGUGACCAAGAAGGACAUAAUAAAUCAUGACAUUUGAAGAACAUCCUGAGUUCAAAGACUAAUGCUGAUGAGAGCUGCAUUCCACGAGGGCUCAGUAAUAGAACCACCGUUGGCCCAGCUGUCUCAGAAUGUUGUCUGUAAAGAGGGGUAGUAACCAGUUUGAUGCUCUGGUAUGAGCUUAUAUCCACAUGCCUCUCACCUGGGCUCUAAGUCCAUUCACUUUCCACUGCAGUUCCAUGAAAUUCAUCCUGGCGCUGUCCCAAUUUCAGAGCUAUUGUAUUAGCAUCAUUGCUGGACAUGAACAAAUAUUGACUAUAGCCUUAAUUUCUGUUCUUCCUUAAAGAAAUUUAUAAAAAUGGCACUGUGGUGCAUCUAUGUGGAUAAAGACAAAAA